CGGGAUAUAGCUCAGUUUGGUAGAGUGUCUGCUUUGGGAGCAGAAUGUCGUUGGUUCAAGUCCAGCUAUCCCGA
rnacentral:tRNA from 1 species